rnacentral:rRNA from 1 species
AUACGGAGGGUGCAAGCGUUACUCGGAGUCACUGGGCGUAAAGCGCGCGCAGGCGGGCUGAUAAGUUGGAUGUGAAAGCCUACGGCUCAACCGUAGAACUGCAUCCAAAACUGUCAGUCUAGAGUCUGGGAGGGGAAGAUGGAAUUAGUUGUGUAGGGGUAAAAUCCGUAGAGAUAACUAGGAAUACCAAAAGCGAAGGCGAUCUUCUGGAACAGUACUGACGCUGAGGCGCGAAAGCGUGGGGAGCAAACAGGAUUAGAAACCCUAGUAGUCC